rnacentral:misc_RNA from 1 species
CAGAACCCUCAAGCUCAGCUUGGUGUUGGGUCUUCGCCCCCUCCUCCAGUGCGGGCGGACCUGAAAAUCAGUGGCGGUGUCACCUGGCCUCAAGCGUAGUAGGCACUCACGCUCUGAAGGCGCAGGUUUUUGACCACCAGCCAAGCAACCCCCUUAUCUUCAAUGA